rnacentral:lncRNA from 10 species
GUCACUUGCACUAGAGGAAGUCAGCUACUAAAUUACAAAGAAAUUCCAGCAACCACAAGGAGAGGUCCACAAAGUGAGAGAUUGAACCCUCGAGCUAACAAGCAUGUGAGUGAGACAUGUUGGAAGUGGAUUCUCCAGCUCCAGUCAAGCCUUCAGAUGAAUGCAGCUCCAGCCAACAUCUCACUGCAGCUUUAUGAGAGCCUCUGAGCUGGAGCCACUAGGCCAAGCUGUUCCCAAAUUCCUGACUCUCAGAAACUGUGUGAGUUACUAUAAAUAUAUUUGUUGUUUUAUACUACAAAGUUUUGGGAUAAUUACUAAG